GUCUACUUUUUCUAUCAAAUUCCACACCAAACGGUAACGGUUUCAGACUCCUUAACUAUGCUCUUCACCGUCUGCAAGCUCUCCCCUUUCUUCAGCAGCAGCAGCCAUCAAGGGGCUUUUUGGUGUUGGAGACCUGAAUUCGAUUCUUCUUGUGAUUGUCACCGGUGAUGUUAAUGUUCUGAACUGCCUCCGUGAUCUCUUCCAUCUUGUUGGUUGAUUUGAUUGAACAGAGAGUGAAUGAAGAACAAACCCUAGAAA
rnacentral:lncRNA from 1 species